UGCUAUAUUAACUAGGUCUAGAUUUGAAUAUCCUCUCUCGACUCCACUCAAAUCCAUUAGGAAUUGUUGAUCAAGCAAUUCAUAAAUUCACGCUCGAAUUAACAUAGAUAAACUGAAAAUAUUUUAUUGAAUUGGAAAUCAAAGUUAUAAAAUCAUCGUUUCACCCAAAGAUCCAUCACAAGCCUAAUAAGUGAAUUAGUUCAUAACGAAUGAAUUAAAAACUGAAUAAUCUAAUGAAAACAUCCUUGCAAUUAUAAAUAAAAGACUAAAGAGAAGAAUAAUGAUGAACACCCUUCACGUAGCCUAGAAUUGCAACUGUCACGAAAAUCUCUUCAAAUUACUCCUCCAAAGCUUGCACUUGAAAAUCUGGAAUUUUUCUCUGUAAUAUGCUUUUUGUGUUGUGUAAUUUGUUGUUUAUAACGUAAUCUCUAGCUCCCCUUAUGUUCUGGCCGAGGUCUCCCUUUUAUUAGAGUCCAGGCGCCUAACAAAACCCCUAAAAUCCAUGUUGCAGCAGUCUUCAAAAGGUAGCAGGAGUCUUCAGGUUUCGGCACCCCCGCCCCGGCGGGGGGUAUAAGUCUAAUAUGGCCCGUCCCGGCGGGCAUGUCCACUGCUAAAGAAAUAUUGCGACUUCAUGCAUUUUUGCAACUUUGCUCCAAAAGUCCGCCUUUCUUCAGCACUUGCCUCCAUGACCACCCUACACAUAAAAUAACAUGAAACGAGUGAAAACGAACACAAACCAAGAAGAUAACUAUGAAUUUAAACUUGAAAUGAACAUCGAUUCAUGUAUAUUAAAUUCACUUAUCAAAAUCCCCCAAACUUAAACCGUGCUAGUCCUCGAGCACAAAAUAAACUACAUGAUAUGCAAUGCAAUGAGAUGAAAUAAAUAAAAUCUAAAUGCCUUAGAAUCCAACAAUAUCGCAGAAACUAAAUUAUCUCGUCGGCCUCAGAGAAAACAAGCAACUCUACAAUAUGAAUCACCAAAACUAAUCCAUAAUUUUGUAUUAAUUCUCAAAUCUUGAACAAUUAUCACUGGUAUAGCGUGUGUGUGUGUGAUCAACAUCUAAGAUAACUGAUACGGACCCAAAUUCAAUACAUAAGCAACUUCUUAGAAGGAAUCAUACAGUGCAAUCUUAAACAUUUCAAAGAUAGGCACAACCCAACUAAAACUAAACAAUACCAAUUUCAAGGUUUCAUGCAGGAUACUUAUACUUUCUUCUCUUUUUAUUAUUAUUAUUUUUUUUAACAUAGGGGGGCUUUUUGCUCUUUUCCCGUCAUUAUUUCCCUUUUUUUAUAGAUGGUUGGUGAGUGCGUUUUACGCUCCAUCUCACGCUUGUGUUUAUGGGGAGUGUUUCUCCUCAACCCACCACAAGACUCAACAUGUUUCAUAUAUUUUUUUUAACAUAGGAGGGCUUUUUGCUCUUUUCCCGUCAUUAUUCCCCUUUUUUUUAUAGAUGGUUGGUGAGUGUGUUUUACGCUCCAUCUCACGCUUGUGUUUAUGGGGAGUGUUUCUCCUCAACCCACCACAAGACUCAACAUGUUUCAUAUAUAUUUUUUUUCUUUUCCUUUUUUAUUCAAAGCUUAUAUACCCCACAUAUACUCCCCCAAACUUAGGUUAUUGCCUAAUUUUAGCCUUUACUGCCUAUCAUUGUCGUUUUCUCAUUUACCCUAGCAUUAUCCUUUAGAAACUAUUUAUGUAUCAAUUUGAACUGAUCGGUCAACAAAGAUGUUAUUAUCGUGCUAACCUUUUUAUAACAGUUUCAAACACAUGCAAGAUUCGAUUCAUAACAGAAAUUAUAUCACAGUUCUAAUAAUCAAUACUGUAUUGGUUAACUUGUUCACAAUCUCAUCAUUGGCCCACAAAUAACAUAAACUGCAACACUAUUGGACAUAUGCAAACACAAUAUUUAACUAAA
rnacentral:lncRNA from 1 species